rnacentral:misc_RNA from 1 species
GACAGCAAUAUCCAUAUCCUCAACCGUUGUUCGCUCUAACCAGCCUCCGCAUUCUUCAAGGGCCUUGAUUCUCCAUACACCAGCAGUGCCAUUGAAGCCGAAGAAGUUAAUGAACCAUCCAUUGACUUGUUGCUCUACUUCAAAAUGAAACGCAAGAUUUAUGUUCUGCAACCGUGUAAGCAAAUUCUCGUCCUUGUUCACAAAAGCCCACCUUGUUUGGACAAGAGCGACAUCAUCAUGUCCCUUGAAAUAGGGAACAGUGUUCUUCAGAAAAUCUGGUGUUGGUUGGAAAUCUGCAUCAAAGAUUGCUACAAAUUCAUAAUUUUUUACAUAGUCACAACUCAUUGCAGAUUUGAGAUUUCCUGCCUUAUAGCCUGUGCGUAUAAGACGGUGACGAUAUAUGAUGUGCACACCCUUCUGUUGCCACUUUUGUACUUCAGCCUUUAUAAGUCCUUGAACACCCAAAUCAUCAGAGUCAUCUAAAAUUUGUACAAGCAUUCUGUCCUUAGGCCAAUCCUGGACACAUACUGCUGCAAUCGAUUGUUGGUAUACCUCCCUCUCAUUGCACAUUGGUAUCUGUAGCAACACCAUGGGAUAAUCCUCUGAAUUUAGAUUUUCUACAUCAGAAGAGUAGUCAAUCUCAGCUAAAGGUUUCAGGCCUCGGAACUUGAUCCAAAAGCAACCAAGUACAAGAACCACUCGAUCUACUGACUGUAUUAGGAACAAUAAAAUACACAUAUUGAUCAAGCUCUGCAACGGUGGCGCCAAAUAGUUGGCCCUAAUGUCUAGCCAGUUGGCAUAGACGUGCUCCACUAAGUCCACCACCUCCGCCGACGCGGAUUCCACAGUAGGAGGACUGAAAUGCCAUCCUCUGAAGUAAGCAACAAGCUCAAACACUAACAAUAUCACUGAAACAGUUAAAAACACUUUAAUUACGCGAUAGAGUCUAGAAUCCGAGCGAGGAGGCGCCGAAUUGGAUGUAACUAUUCGUCGAUUGGCGGUGCGAACAAUGGAAAUGAAGCCAUUUGUGAGGAAUGCGAUUGAAUUAGCAAUUUGCUGAAACUUGAGAAGGCAAAUCCAAGAGAGUUGGCGAGCACUGCGAGUACGUUCCUUCUCGGCAACGGUUGGGCUGGAGAUCUCAACAGUUAGAAAGCUAGAGUUUUCGGAAGAAGAAGGGAAGAGGUCCUCACUGCCAUUGGCUGACCGCUGCUUGUUCCACCAUUCCUGAAACUCUUGAUUAGGCGGCCGAGACAUAUAUAUUUAGGUAAAGGCAGUGCGAGUGAAGCAAUCGUCGCCGUCGAUACUGAUACUUGUCAGAUCUCGAAUGUGUACCGGCGAUGGAACAUAGAGAGUGAAGUGAGAGUGCCUACUGCGAUCCGGAUUAUGACGAAGUUAAGCCGGAAGGUAAUGAAGCUAAAUUUAG